rnacentral:rRNA from 1 species
UACGGAGGGUGCGAGCGUUGUCCGGAAUCACUGGGCGUAAAGGGCUCGUAGGCGGCCAACUAAGUCAGACGUGAAAUCCCUCGGCUUAACCGGGGAACUGCGUCUGAUACUGGUUGGCUUGAGUGUGGGAGAGGGAUGCGGAAUUCCAGGUGUAGCGGUGAAAUGCGUAGAUAUCUGGAGGAACACCGGUGGCGAAGGCGGCAUCCUGGACCAUUACUGACGCUGAGGAGCGGAAAGCCAGG